rnacentral:lncRNA from 1 species
UUAAUUAAUUUUAAUUAACUUAAUCAUUGGAUUAUGUUAAUAUUUAAUCUAAUGAUUUGGAUAAUUACUUUUAAUUACCUUAAUUAGAUAUAUUAACUGAAUUUUAGUCAAUUCAUUUUGUUAUCACAAUUUCACGUUAUUUCAAGAUCAAAACUAUUUCAUUUCAAAGAAAUUCAAUUUCAUUCGAUUCAUCAUCAAUUUGAAACCCUAUUAAAUCACU